rnacentral:rRNA from 1 species
UACGAAGGGGGCUAGCGUUGCUCGGAAUCACUGGGCGUAAAGGGUGCGUAGGCGGGUCUUUAAGUCAGGGGUGAAAUCCUGGAGCUCAACUCCAGAACUGCCUUUAAUACUGAAGAUCUUGAGUUCGGGAGAGGUGAGUGGAACUGCGAGUGUAGAGGUGAAAUUCGUAGAUAUUCGCAAGAACACCAGUGGCGAAGGCGGCUCACUGGCCCGAUACUGACGCUGAGGCACGAAAGCGUGGGGAGCAAACAGGG